GAUGAACGCUAGCUACAGGCUUAACACAUGCAAGUCGAGGGACCGGCGCACGGGUGAGUAACACGUAUCUAACCUGCCCUUUACUCGGGGAUAGCCUUUCGAAAGGAAGAUUAAUACCCGAUAUCAAGGAUGGGGAUGCGUUCCCUUAGGUUGUUGGUGAGGUAACUGCCCACCAAGCCAUCGAUGGAUAGGGGUUCUGAGAGGCAGGUCACCCACAUUGGAACGGGGACACGGUCCAAACUCCGACGGGAGGCAGCAGUGAGGAAUAUUGGUCAAUGGGCGUUAGCCUGACCCAGCCAAGUAGCGUGAAGGAUGAAGGCUUAUGGGUCGUAAACUUCUUUUAUAUAAGAAGAUGUAUUAUAUGAAUAAGGAUCGGCUAACUCCGUGCCAGCAGCCGCGGUAAAUC
rnacentral:rRNA from 1 species